GUCCACGCUGUAAACGAUGAGUGCUAGGUGUAGGGGGUAUCGACUCCUUCUGUGCCGCAGCUAACGCAUUAAGCACUCCGCCUGGGGGAUUACGGCCGCAAAGGUUAAAACUCAAAGGAAUUGACGGGGGCCCGCACAAGCGGUGGAGUAUGUGGUUUAAUUCGAUGAUACGCGAGAAACCUUACCUGGUCUUGACAUGUUAAGAAUCCUUCAGAGAUGAGGGAGUGCUUGCUUGCAAGAACUUAAACACAGGUGGUGCAUGGUUGUCGU
rnacentral:rRNA from 1 species